UCACCCCACGGGGGAGAGUCCUCGCGGAUCACCGCGGGGCGCCGAAGGGGCAAACUCCCCGGAACCUCUCAGGCGCCAGGACCUCGUGGAUCAG
rnacentral:ncRNA from 2 species